GUGUCCAUCUUGUGCUCAUUUGGGAAGGUAGAGUGUGUGGGAACAGGUGAGUCCAUUAGUUAUGGUGCAGCUCUCAGCACCAUCCUGAACUACUAGACAGCUUGCUUCCCGUCCCCACCAGAUCCAGACACCUUCAUAACUCACCCCAGCACUAUUACUGCUGAACUGCUUGUUGCUUUGCAACCUGAGUCAUAUGGAUGCACUCUUCUGUACUCUGUAUCUGGACAGACAGGGACACACACACACACACACACACACACACACACACACACACACACGUUUCUCCCAAUGUACCUCGUGCACAGUUGACACUAGUGAAGUUUGCUUGAACUGGAGAGGACUCCCAUUCCAAGAAAGGUAAUUUCAUAUUCCAUGUGAUUUCCCUUCUGGAAAUGUCUCAAAAUUCCUCUAACUCAGCUUGUUCCUGUCUCCACCCCUAAUGCAAUCACUUAACCACCCUGCUCUACUGCUUCGCAGGAGCCACGUGAAGCCAACACAUGGCAUGGUGCACAUUUUCCCCCAGGGCAUCCGGUCCUGUGCAAGGGAAGGCCCACCAGCUGUGCUUUGAGUGGAAGCAAGGUGAAGUCUGGAGUGUUUGACAGUUGGAUUCAGAGAUGGAGCUGGUUCCAAGCAUGAUCGUGGAUAGAAUCUGUUGAUGGAAAAACAAUGGCAACCCCCGGCCUGACAGUGGACAUGGCUGGUGCUGAAGCUUUGUGUCUCCAGGCAGCAGGCUGGGAAAGACUUUGGCUGCCUGUAUGACCCUAUGCUGGGGCUACCAAGGAGACUCCUGGGACUACACUCAGCAAGGGACAUUUUCAACUGGAUGGUGCUUAGAGCAGGAGAUGCCACUCAAGCCCUAACACACUGGAUGGAAGGGGGAACACAGAGGUCUCCUUGAUGGAAGAGGCUUCUGAUUGACAGAGAAUUUGGGCCAGAGGCUUACAAGCAGAUGGACUAAGAGCAACAAAAGAAAAUGUCUACUGAUCCAGGUGAAGAUCAGCCAUCGAGGAUAUGCUCAGAGAGCUGGGCAUAAGAUUGCUCUGCAGAAGUGUUACCAAGAAAGACAGGCACCGGACAAAAAGAUAUACGGCAC